rnacentral:lncRNA from 1 species
CACAUUUACUAUACAAAGAAGUAUAACAGUGCCAUAAUUACAUUGAUGUUUACAUAUUAAUAAAGUUUUGCUUUUAAAGAAAAAUCUAGACUCUGUAAUAUAGUACAAUACUCUAAAAUAACAAUAUAAACCCUGAUUUUUAACACUAACUGCUCUAGACAGUAAAACUUAACAGUUAAGAGUAAACUAAUAUUUGAAGAAAUCCUUGUCAUUUCAACAUAUAUAGUAAACUUUGGUUUAUAUCAGUACAUUAAUAAUUGACUUUAGGGAAAAACCUUGAGUAGAUUUAACUGAUUGUGUUACUUAUGUAUAACUGACUUAACUGCACACAAACCUUUUAAAAUUUACCCUUCAUUUGUAUAGACAUUUUUAUCAAUUAUAUUCAUUCAUUCUCUCUCUCUCUCUCUCUCUCUCUCUCUCUCUCUCUCUCUCUCUCUCUCAUUUAGAUGUAUUACAACUUUACUACAUAAAGACUCUCUUACCCAGUGGAAGGUUUUUGCUUAGCACCUGGAUGACCAUCUUAAGCAUCAACUGCCAUCUUAAGAAAAAGUUUUGCUUUCCUGCCCAAUGGUAACUGACCAUUUUUUUGUUAUUCAGCCAACAUUAUCCUUUGUUCUCUAAUAAUGUCCAAAUUAGUGAAGUACACAAACACCUAAUUCUUUGUUUUUAUAGCCAGUUUAUUAGCUUCCAACAACAGAAGGGCCAUGGCGGCAAGGACCCAUAAGCAAGGUGGUCAGCCUUGGGCUACAUACAGAGUCCAGCUGUUUAGAUAGAUAGGCCACUGGAUGUGCCAUGUUCCCAGCAUUUCAGUAAACCCCCUACAGCUAUUUCAUACCAUUUAUGGACAUAGAGGAAGAAAAGCUUUGUGAGGUCAGGGAGUCCUAGUCCAGGUGCAUUGGUGAGUGCUUCUUUAGUGUCCUCAAAGUCCUUUUGUUUUGUUGGUCCCUCCAAAGAGCAGAUCCUGUUCUCUCCCUUUUUGGGCCUUCAUAGAGGAGUUUUGCCAUAACUGAAUACUUGGGUAUCUAUACACAGCAGAAUUAAGUGGCACCAAAGAUCUCUGAUUUGACAGUAGGUUGAAGGAACUGGAAUUGAUCAGGUGACCUGUUCCUCUUGUAGCCCAGUUGCUACUGUUUUUGAGUUGGACAGAAACCAAGGUUCUUUACUUUUCUUGACAGAUCUGGGCUUUCUUUUGUGAAACUUUGUAACCAGCCUUACAUAGGAGAGUGAGUAGCAGCUGUGUUCUUUUUAUGCCAUUUUCUCUGGUUGCUCCAGACAGGAACAGAUCAUCUACAUAUUGAAACAAUGUGCAUCCACAUUGUUUUUCAGGAAAGGCUUUUAAGUCAGAAUCCAGCACCAUCCCAAAAAUGGUUGGUGACUUUUUAAAACCUUGUGGUAAUCUAGUCCAGGUCAAUUGGCCCUUGUUCCCAUUGGAGUCUUCUCAUUGGAAGGCAAAUGGUGGCUGACUCUGUGGUACAAGUUGUGUGCAGAAGAAGGCAUCUUUAAGGUCCAGACAUGUGAAAUAGCCUGCCUCAGCUGGGGGCAGAUUUAGGAGAUUAUGUGGAUUGGGGACCACAGAAUGUAAGCUGACUGUGGCUUGAUUUUUUGCAUGUAAAUGUUGGACUGGCCAAUAAUGAUCAAUUUCUGGUUUUUGGACAGGCAAAAGAGGUGUAAUUCAUGGUAAUGGGUGAGUUCUGACAAUUCCACAUUGAAAAAGUGUGUUCAAAUGUUUUUGAAUUCCAAGUUUUGCCUUAUAAGGAAUGUGAUGUUGUCUUAGGUGACUCAUAUGGCUUCAUGUUCAAAUUUCAUCACCACUGGGAGAAAGUUUUGGGCUAGUCCAGGUGGGCUGGCCUCUGUCCAUACUCCUUAUAUUUGGAAAGGGAUUUGUGGGUCCUGUUAUGAUGUUUCUACUAGGCUGAAGAGGUGCCAUUCCUCUUCUCAGGGAAUUGUGAGGGUUAAAAUAUUUGCUUCAGGUUUUCUCAAUGAUACCAGUGACUGGCCUUUUGCAUCAACAGUUAUCUGGGCUUGGAGUUCUCCUACUAGAUCUCAACCUAUUAAUUGAACUGGGCAAUCUGGCAUGUAUAGAAAUUUGUGGACUACUUUAUGGCCUGCUGAAUUUCAAUGCUGUUGUAACAGGAAAGGAUGAUCUGUUUUGCUUCCUGGGGCCCCCACAAUUGUGGUUUCUUUCUUUGAAAGUUGGCUCACAACCAAAUGGUGAGCCCCAGCAUCCACCAUAUAGUCCAUAGGUUUGUCCCCUAUAAGCAUUUGAAUCAUAGGCUUCUGGGGUCCCAAAACAAUGGAGCCAGUCAGUCUUCAUCCUCAUCAUAAUUUUCCAUGGCGUCCAGGUCCCACAAAAAUUUUUCUCAUGGGCAUCAUAGUAGUAUCUGUGGCAUUGAGCAUCAUGGGGGACACAUUCUUAGGACUGGUAUCCACCUUGAAUGACUUGGCCUCUCUUAUCCUGGUAAGGAGUAGCAGGAACUCAGUUGGCUUUCUUCAAUGUGGGGCAUUCAUUUUUCUAGUGGCCCUCUAGAUGGCACUGGGUGAAUUGGUUUAGUUUCAGCCUAGUCUCUGGGUGAGGAAGUUGAUCCAGACCAUCCUUCUGCCCUGCAUCUGGUUCUUAUUCUAAUAUUUGUUUUGGCUUUGUCCUGGUGGGAACCCCUUUUGGGUGACUUCUGAGUCUGUAGUAAAGGUAGCUGCAAGGAGAAAUCAUCUUCUUCAUCUUUUAGUCUGCUUCUUGCUGGGUCUCUUAGUCUUGAUUGACAAACACUGUGGUGGCCACUUCAAACAGCUCACUGGCAUUCUUCCUAGCAAAACCCUCUAGUGUUUUGUAAUUUGGGUGACUGUCACUCUGUGCCUGUCCCACAAAGCUUGCAUUGACCACCUGCUGGUUGUCUGGUGCCUCUGGAUCAAAGAGAGUAGAGUCAGAAGCUUCACAAAGUUGUUCAUAGAACUGGCUGGGGCUUUCAUCAGGAUUUUAGAAUACUUUUGAUACCUUGUUCAUGUUUAGGGCUCAUCUUCUUCUUUUAGGCCUCCUAUGAGGAGUUCUUGAUAUCUCUUUUUCUUUUGAAGGUCUUCAUCUUUGCUAGGCUCCCACCCUGAAACUGUGUUGGGAAACUGGGCCUGGGCAUGGGCUUGAUGUUGCCUUGUGCAUCUGGUGCAUGUUCUUCUAGCCAUUUUAAAGUGCUCGGGUCACCCAUUUGCUCUCCUCUGUAUUGAUAGAGUAAGACAUAGCUGGCAGCAGUUCCCCCAGUGUUUUAGUCAAGUAUUUUGCUGCUUGACUAAAGGAUCUGACCAGAACAAUUUUAAGGGAGAAAAAGUUUAUUUGAAGGGUCACAGUUUCAGAUGUCUUAGUCCAUAGAAGGUGACUCCAUUGCUUGGGGCUCCAGUUGAGGCAGGAUGUCAUGGCAGAAGAAUGUGGUAGAGGGAAACAGCUCACAUGUUUAUCAGGAAGGGGGGGGGGGGAGAGAGAGAGAGAGAGAGAGAGAGAGAGAGACUCACUCCACUUUCCUGAUACAAAUAUAUAUCUAAAGCCACACCUCAAUUUCCACCUUCUCCAGCCACACCCUACCACUUUAUUAUAACUCAGUUAAUGCGUAUUAGGAGAUUAAAUAAUUAGUUGUGUCAAGACUCUUACAACCCAAUUAUUUCUCCUCUGAACCUUAUUGCAUUGUCUAACAUGUGAGCUUUUGUGGAAUACCUCAUAUCCAAACCUUAACAAGCAGGUAGGUCAGUGGGCCUGGAUAAUGGAUUGUAUCAUAUGAAUCAUGGUCUGAGAUUUCUGUGUGUAGGAGGUAGUAUGAUUUUUCCAAUUUCAGAGAUCUUUGGAGGUAAAAGCCUGAUACUUGGAAAUAUAUUGGGCCCCUCAGAUGAUUUCUUUCUGGUCAACAUAGGCAGGUCCUCAAGUCUCUCACAGGGGCAUUUGAAGAGUUCUCAGCUGGGUUGUGGCUCUGGUCUUAGGAUGGGUUUCCAUCUUGAUCUUGCAAGUUGGAGGAGGAAUCUUUGGCCCUUGCAAAGCCUCUGGUCUUGAGGACCUCAUAGGGGAAGGAGUAACUGGUUUUGAAGAGCCUUAAUCAGCUGUUUCUGGGGAUUUGGGGGCUGAGGUGACUGUCCAUUGUUUCAGUGAUCUUGGAAAUGUUGGAUAGAUUGGACAUAAGGUGGUGGGUUCUCUUCUGCCUCACCAGAUAAAACUGGUUCUUUUUCUGCCUUUUCUUUGUCAUAUUUUCUCUUCUUAGUUUCCUUUUUUGGGUCUUAGAGGCUGCUACCAUCUGAGAUAAACUCAAUUUUGAUUGUCCACCUAGACAGGCUCAACCCCUGGGGUGUUUCUAGACUAUCUCUUGCCAGCAGUCAAGGAAACUAUUCUGAGUGUCCAGGGGUUCCAACAACUAUUAAAAAGACCUCAGCAAUGAUACUUUAAUUAAAGAUCCUUCUGGUGGCCAUCCCACACCAAAGCUUGGCCAUUCUAAUUCACAGAGAGAACACAACUUUGCUGAGUAAAUUUCUGGGGGUAAACUGGCAGUCUUCCCCUUAGCCCAUCAGCUGGUAAAUCCGGAGUGCCAGGUGGUGAAAAAAGGUUUCAUCUCCUGCUUAAGAUACACCCAGUGAUUUAUUGCAAUCUCGCCAUAAUAAUGGUCAGAGCAAAAUUUCAAAACCCUCAAAUUACACAAACAAAAAGGGAGUGACAGUUUCCCUUAUGCUUGCUGACCCCAAACAGAGACUAAUUAAGUGACUCCUUGGAUCCUUUUUGGCUCCACCUCCUUUUGGAGGUUAUUCAGGACUAUCAGGUGUUGAACAAUCCUCUGUUCCCCCAACUAAGUCCUCUUGGGGGAGGUCAGAUUGGCUACCACUGAGGGACCAGGACCUACCUUUUUGGUCAGGUGGUGCUUCUCAUUUCCUAUUUCUGGUUCCUGUUCCUCGUGAAUUCUCUUGUGCUUCAGGGUGGAAGUUCUGAGAUGUCAGGUGAGUUGUUCCUCCUUCAGCCAAAGAGCUGCCUCUGUGGUAUGCUAAGGGGAAACAAUGUCCUCCAACAUCUCAAAAAGCCAGACUUCAGAGAUAAGAGAGGCAACUUCACCAUUACCAUCCCAUUUCGAUUGCCGAAUGUUGCAGGACAGAUGAGGCUGAACACCUGCAGAAUUAGCAUAAAGCAGGUUUAUUGGCUACAGCCAGUUCAGAGUGUGGCUAUAUCCUAAAAUUUCCUCCUCUGAACCAUGAGUCUAGAAAUUCUUUGAACUUUAUACCCACUGGGAGGAGGGAUUUAGAUUUCCACUUUUGCUGGAGUCUACCUAAAAGUAUCUUUUUUGUUUGAAUUAAUUCAUAGAGAGUGCUUUUG